CCUUUACGGGAGGCAGCAGUGAGGAAUAUUGGUCAAUGGGCGAGAGCCUGAACCAGCCAAGUCGCGUGAAGGAUGACUGUCUUAUGGAUUGUAAACUUCUUUUGUAGGGGAAUAAAGAAUGGUACGUGUGGUGUCAUUGCAGGUAGCUGAAAGAAAAAGGACCGGCUAAUUCCGUGCCAGCAGCCGCGGUAAUAAGG
rnacentral:rRNA from 1 species